rnacentral:rRNA from 1 species
GAGCAAAAGAAGGACUUGCAUAUGGUGUUCAUUGACUUGGAGAAGGCCUAUGAUAAGAUACCGCGGAAUGUCAUGUGGUGGGCCUUGGAGAAACACAAAGUCCCAACAAAGUACAUUACCCUCAUCAAGGACAUGUACGAUAAUGUUGUGACAAGUGUUCGAACAAGUGAUGUCGACACCGAUGACUUUCCGAUUAAGAUAGGACUGCAUCAGGGGUCAGCUUUGAGCCCUUAUCUUUUUGCAUUGGUGAUGGAUGAGGUCACAAGGGAUAUACAAGGAGAUAUCCCAUGGUGUAUGCUCUUUGCAGAUGAUGUGGUGCUAGUUGACGAUAGUCGGACGGGGGUAAAUAGGAAGUUAGAGUUAUGGAGACAAACCUUGGAAUCGAAAGGGUUUAGGCUUAGUAGAACUAAAACCGAGUACAUGAUGUGCGGUUUCAGUACUGCUAGGUGUGAGGAGGAGGAGGUUAGCCUUGAUGGCCAGGUGGUACCUCGGAAGGACACCUUUCGGUAUUUGGGGUCAAUGUUGCAGGAGGAUGGGGGUAUUGAUGAAGAUGUGAACCAUCGAAUCAAAGCCGGAUGGAUGAAGUGG